GGGAGCGUACUGGUUUCGACGAGGUUAUUGAACUUUGAGAAGCGGGUAGAGGAUUCUCGUUGGCCUCUUUAAAAAACGAGAAACUUGAUAAUUGCCAAUAAACCGGCACUUGCCGCUGCAUAGAUUGCCGCGGCCGUCACCUCUGAUUAUCUGCCAGCAGAUAAAGUGACGUCAUGAGGCAGACCUUAUCCGUGGGAGGUAAAACGGAGCACCGUUCCAACCCUUGCUUGGAGGUUGGAAUGUAAUUACAAGCUACCGGACCGUCAAGUUUGUUAGUAGACUGAGCGGAAGGGGAAUACUCCAAAUACUGACUGCACCCGGAGAAGCUCUUAGGAAUAUGAUUUCGGACAGGGGUUCGACUCCCCUCGCUUCCACCA
rnacentral:tmRNA from 1 species